UGAGGAUUCAACAGGAUUCAGUUCAUAAUUUAACAGCGUAAAACCACAUCCAUAAUCAAUCAAGAAGAAAUUAAAUGACUAUGAUAGGAUUCAGUUCAUAGCUCCAGGAAGUAAAACCACAUCCACAAUCUAUCAAGAAGAAAAUAAUUUCAAAGAACAACGAUCUUCAUUUAUUUAGAUAAGAGUCUUAACAUGGAAAUUUAAACGGACAACAGAAAAAAACCUAACUGGUACUUAAUUGGCAAACUUUGCCAAUGUACCAGAGACUUCACAAACAUAACCAUAGAGAUCAAAGCAAACCAUCAUUCAGCAACCACCAACAAACCCAAUAGGCUUCUUAAAAGUCACCACCACGGAGACGGAGGACCAAGUGAAGGGUGGACUCCUUCUGGAUAUUGUAAUCAGCCAGGGUACGACCAUCCUCGAGCUGCUUCCCUGCAAAGAUCAACCUCUGCUGGUCCGGUGGGAUACCUUCCUUAUCCUGGAUCUUGGCUUUGACAUUAUCGAUGGUAUCUGAACUCUCCACCUCCAAAGUGAUGGUCUUUCCUGUCAAAGUCUUCACAAAGAUCUGCAUCCCACCACGAAGCCUGAGCACCAAGUGCAGGGUGGACUCCUUCUGGAUAUUGUAAUCCGCAAGAGUCCUGCCAUCCUCCAAUUGCUUUCCAGCGAAGAUCAACCUCUGCUGAUCCGGUGGGAUCCCUUCCUUAUCCUGGAUCUUGGCCUUGACGUUAUCAAUUGUAUCGGAGCUCUCAACCUCCAGGGUAAUGGUCUUCCCUGUCAAAGUCUUCACAAAAAUCUGCAUACCACCCCUCAAUCGGAGCACCAAGUGAAGGGUCGACUCCUUCUGGAUAUUGUAAUCGGCCAGGGUCCUGCCGUCCUCCAACUGCUUACCGGCAAAGAUCAAUCUCUGCUGAUCCGGGGGAAUUCCCUCCUUAUCCUGGAUCUUAGCCUUGACGUUGUCAAUCGUGUCGGAGCUCUCAACCUCGAGAGUGAUGGUCUUCCCGGUAAGGGUCUUCACGAAGAUCUGCAUCCCACCGCGAAGACGGAGCACCAAAUGGAGGGUUGACUCCUUCUGGAUGUUGUAAUCAGCCAAGGUCCUACCGUCCUCGAGCUGCUUUCCGGCGAAGAUCAACCUCUGCUGAUCUGGGGGGAUCCCUUCCCUUGUCCUGGAUCUUGGCCUUGACGUUGUCGAUGGUGUCGGAGCUCUCGACCUCGAGAGUGAUCGUCUUUCCGGUUAGGGUUUUCACGAAGAUCUGCAUACCACCCCUGAGACGGAGCACCAGGUGGAGAGUUGACUCCUUCUGGAUGUUGUAGUCGGCCAAAGUCCGGCCGUCCUCGAGCUGCUUUCCGGCGAAGAUGAGCCUCUGCUGGUCGGGAGGGAUGCCCUCCUUGUCCUGGAUCUUGGCCUUGACGUUGUCGAUGGUGUCGGAGCUCUCAACCUCGAGGGUGAUGGUCUUGCCGGUCAGGGUUUUCACGAAGAUCUGCAUGAUUGGGAUUGGAUUGAAAUCGGAAAAAGGGGUAUGAGAAAAUUGGGGAUUUUUCAGAGAGAAGCGUUUGAGAAAUUUG
rnacentral:lncRNA from 1 species